CCUGUUGGCCUCCUCUUGUAGCCUUAGUCUUCUCUCCUCCAUCUUCCUCUGGAGCUAAUGUUGCGACCAACAUUAAGGAAACCUCCACACAUCAUAGUGCUCACAUGGAUCAGCCGUUAGUGAUGGUGUCUGCUGAUUAGAAAUAAC